CGCGUAGGCGGGGAGUUAAGUGAGAAGUGAAAGGCUAGGGCUCAACCCGAGCAGUGCUUCUCAUACUGGCAUUCUUGAGGGCGGUAGAGAGAAGUGGAAUGGCUGGUGUAGCGGUGAAAUGCGUAGAUAUCAGUCGGAACACCGGUGGCGAAGGCGGCUUCUUGGGCCGUACCUGACGCUGAGGCGCGAAAGCCAGGGGAGCGAACGGGAUUAGAUACCCCGGUAGUCCUGGCCGUAAACGAUGGAUACUAGGUGUCGGGGGUAUCGACCCCUCCGGUGCCGCAGCUAACGCACUAAGUAUCCCGCCUGGGGAGUACGGCCGCAAGGUUGAA
rnacentral:rRNA from 1 species